GAAAGAAUAUUUGGUUCUGGUUUAAAAACAACUAAUAUGAUAACUUAGACAUGGUAGUAUAUACGAAUAGUGAGUAAGAGGCUUGAUCGAAAAAUUAUAAGUAAAUCUUUUAUUAUAGACUUAACCCAUGAUAUUAAUUUUUAUGAUAUAUAGAAUAAACCACAACACCAGUCGGAUAUUUUAAACAAUUUUUUAAAGAAAGAUUUAGUAAUUCAUUAUAGGAGAGGUGAAGACAGGUGCCAGCAUCCGCGGUUACACCUGCUUUCCGAGUUGUUUAUAACGCGCAUAAUAAGAUAGUGUAAUUAAUAUAAAAGUAUUUAACAGAUAUCAUUAGUUAAAUAAGUAUAAUAGUUGAAUUCUCAGUCUUUUUAUACAUGUUCUUGUAAAAUUAGGAUAAAAACCGGGAUUAGAUACCCCGCUAUUCUAAAAAUAAAAAAUAUGCCAGGUGAGUACGAUUUAAUUUUUAAAAACCAAAGAACUUGGCGGUGUUCUAAAUCCUGUUAGGGGAGCCUGUUCCUUAAUACGAUAAUCCACGAAUACCUUACCUUUUUUCGCAUAAGCAGUUUUCAUACCGCCGUUGUCAGUUUACCUUUUAGAGAAUUUAAGUAGACUCAAUAAGUUGUAAUGACUAAUGACUUCAGGUAAACGUGAAGCCAAUAAGAAGGAGGGUUAUGGGCUACAUUUCUUUAGGUACAGAAGAAAACUGAAAUUGUAAUUGGAAGAAGGACUUAACAGUAAAACCCUCAAGUUAAAGGGUUUGAAUUCGAACUGGGACGUGUACAAAUCGCCCGUCGCUCUCACAUGUAUAAAGUGAGAUAAGUCGUAACAUAGUAGGGGUACCGGAAGGUGCCCCUG
rnacentral:ncRNA from 1 species